AUUGUGAUGUACAUCAUUUUUCUCUUGAAGAUUGCAUCUCUCCAAGUUUAUCUGCCGUUUUUAGAAAUUUGUUUAACCAUUCCUUUUAAAACUGAGGAUUGUUUCCAUCUGGAUGUUGGGUGUGGAAUGGCAUGAUAGUCUGUUUCACCCCUGCUGCGGCUCCAAAGGGAAACAAAGGUGCAAAUUACUUGCUAACAACUUUCUUAAGUAAUUUUGGUUAUUAUGGUUAGUCAAUGGCUUUACACUUGAA
rnacentral:misc_RNA from 1 species